GUGAGCUUAGCUCAGCUGGUAAGGACAUUGCAUUAUAUAUGCAAGGUCCGGAGUUCAAAUCUCGGCCACCACC
rnacentral:tRNA from 1 species